AAAUCCCACCUCAAGAUUCAGGUUUUUUGGGUUAAAAUCCCAACUAAAGAGUUUUUGGGUCAAGAUUUGGGUUCUUUGGGUCAAAAUCCCACCUCAAGAUUUGAGUUUUUGGGUCAAGAUUUGGGUCAAAAUCCCACCUCAAGAUUUGGGUUUUUGGGUCAAAAUCCCACCUCAAGAUUUGGGUCUUUUGGGUCAAAAUCCCACCUCAAUAUUUGGGUUUUUGGGUCCAGAUUCAGGUUCUUUGGGUCUAAAUCCCACCUCAAGCUUUGAGUUUUUGGGUCAAAAUCCCACCUCAAGAUUCAGGUUUUUGGGUCAAAAUCCCACCUCAAGACUUGAGUUUUUGGGUCAAGAUUUGGGUUCUUUGGGUCAAAAUCCCACCUCAAGAUUCGGGUCUUUUGGGUCAAAAUCCCACUUCAAGAUUUGGGUCUUUUGGGUCUAAUUCCCACUUCAAGAUUUGGGUCUUUUGGGUCAAAAUCCCACCUCAAGAGUUGAGUUUUUGGGUCCAGAUUUGGCUCUUUCGGGUCUAAAUCCCACCUCAAGAUUCGGGUUCUUCGAGUUGCGUUUUUGGGUCCAGAUUUGGCUCUUUCGGGUCUAAAUCCCUUCCAUCAGCUUCAUAUCAUUCUCUCCAACCCUCCCCCCUCCCCAUUUAUCCUUUAUUUUGGGUUAAAAACCCCCAAAGGACGUCAAAUUCCAGCUCCGACACGACGUGGCCGAACUUCAGGCUUCCUCCAGCUCCGACCUGACCCCCUCCCACAUUUCCCUUCUCAAACUGGUUCUAUGUCGGGGUCUGUACCCCCAACUCGCCAUCCCGGACCCCCUCAAUGACAGCAGGAAGGAUUCCGACCAGAUUUUUCACACCAAAACCAAGCAGGGCAUCAGCCUUCACCCUACCUGUGUCUUUGCCACCAGCCCUGAGCUGCUUCAUGCCAAGGGAAGGAAAGAGCGCGGCACCGAAGCAGGGGACGGGAUGAGCUGCCACCACCAGCUCCUGGCCUUCGUCUCGCUGCUGGAGACCACCAAACCCUACCUGGUCAACUGCAUCCGCGUCCCUGCGCUGCAGGUGGGCUCCUCUUCCUCUUCCUCUUCCUCUUCCUCUUCCCCUUCCGCCUUCCCCUUCCUCUUCCUCUUACCCUCCUCCUCUCCUCUUACCUGCUUCCUCUUUAUCUCCUCUUCCUCUUCCUCUUCCUCUUCCUCUUCCUCUUCCUCUUCCUCUUCCUCUUCCUCUUCCUCUUCCUCCUCCUCUUCCUUCCUCUUCCUCUUCCUCUUCCUCUUCCUCUUCCUCUUCCUCUUCCUCUUCCUCUUCCUCUUCCUCUUCCUCUUUAACUUCCCCUUACCCUUACCCUUACCCUUCCUUUCUCUCUAUCCUCUUCCUCUUCCUCCCCAUCCUAUUCCAUCCCCUUCCCCUUCCUCUUCCUCUUCCUCUUCCUCUUCCUCUUCCUCUUCCUCUUCCUCUUCAUCCUCCUCUUCCUCUUCCUCUUCCCUUCCCCUUCCUCUUCCUCUUCCUCUUCCUCUUCCUCCUCCUCCUCUUCCUCUUCCUCUUCCCCUUCCCCUUCCUCUCUCCAUCCUCUUCCUCUUCCUCCCCAUCCUAUUCCAUCCCCAUCCCCAUCCCCUUCCUCUUCCUCUUCCUCUUCCUCUUCCUCUUCCUCUUCCUCUUCCUCUUCCUCUUCCUCUUCCUCUUCCUCUUCCUCUUCCUCUUCCUCUUCCUCUUCUUCUUCCUCUUCCUCUUCCUCUUCCUCUUCCCCUUCCCCUUCCCCUUCCUUUCUUUCCAUCCUCUUCCUCUUCCUCCCCAUCCUAUCCUAUCCCAUCCCUUACCUCUUCCUCUUCCCCUUCCUCUUCCUCUUCCUCUUCCUCUUCCUCUUCCUCUUCCUCUUCACCCUCCUCUUCCUUCCUCUUCCUCUUCCUUUUCCUCUUUCUCUUCCCCUUCCUCCCCAUUCCCUCUCCUCUUCCUCUCCCCUCCCCAAUAACCCUCUCCCCUUUCCCCUCCCCAAUAAACCCCUUUCCCCCCCUCCCCAUUAACCCCUCUCCCCUUCCCUGUCUCCCAUUAACCCCUCUCCCUUCCC
ensembl:lncRNA